AGGGGAGGGACGAUGACAGUGCGGGCCUGUGUGUUCUAGAAGAGCCUGGACUAGGCAACGCCCCAGCACCCCAAGGCGGGAAGCCGGUCUGUUCCAGUGGAACAAUCAGACUGUCAACCAGCAAAGUGGAGGGGGGAGGCCUCAUGACGUCAAUGACAGAACUCUGGCUGGAGCUGGGCAUAGACCAUGAACUCCCUGCUGCAGGAGAGCAUCCAGAAAGGAUCUGAGAGCCAAAGCAGCCCAUACCCAGCAGCGAGAAGAAACUUAAUUAUGCUAAAGAAAAGGGAAUGACUAAGGGAACUGGGUAAGGAAAUGUGUUUCCUUUGGGACUUUUUUGUUAGUAUUAUUUUUAUUUACUAUUUGUAUUGCCAUAGCGUGUAGGAGCCCUAGUCCAGGACUAGGAGCCCAUUGUGCUAGGUGCCGGAUGAAGAACAGAAAGAUGGUCCCUGUCCCAAAGAGCUUGCAAUCGAAGCAGAAGACAAGAGACAAUGAAUGGCUACAGACAGACACGGGAGAACAAGGAAACAAUGAGACAACAUUGGUCAGCAUGGCGGGUGGUGGCUCAGCACACCAGCAGCCUCACCACCGUCAGGCGUCACAGCAGAGGGACUUUGAAGGAGGGAUUUGAAGGAGCAUAAUGAGGUUGAUUGCAGAUGUUUACAAAUGCUCCUCCCAAAUGUGAGGGGCAGAAAGCAUUAAGGUGCUUGUUUGAAAAUUUAACAAGUGGGCGAUGGAAGCUGGUAUCGUGAGCCCAUCACAGGCAGGUGUUGAUAUUUCAAUAGUGAAAUAUUUGAUGCUAUAGAGAAGGGAGAGGCACUGGAGGCAUUCAAAGAGAAGGGUGACAAGGUCAAAGCGAUGGGCUGUGUGACAGAGUGAACUGUCACAAAGGGAGAGAAAUAAAUCCCAAGCAGCUGACUCCAAUUAAUCUCUCCUUUCAGAGGCUACUGGGAGUGGGAGGAAACUGGGGUCUGUAUAAGGAGGAAGUGAGGCAACACCCAAGAAGACUGGGAGGCAGAAGGAGUAACAAGGGAAAAAACAGCUCCAGAAAGAGGCAGGAGGAAAAAUAAUCACGUUGGGGUAAAGGAAAGAACUGUGUACCAACUGAGACUGCCACCCUAGGAAACUUUGGACUUACCUAAGAGGUCAAAGAACACGUGGGAAAAUGGGACUAAAGAUUUCAGGUGUAGAUGAUGCUAAACUAAAUAUUGAUACACCCCUUUUAUAAGUACCUCUACAUUCUCUUGGGAGUCUCCCCCCCCCACCUUUUCUGUGGUGGUCAGGUCAUCUUGCCCUCCCCCUCUUGUCCCAGACAAUGGCUUGGUGACAUUUGUAGUUGGGAGAUUUGGGGCUUAGCUGGAAGACCAAGUCAAUGUAGUGCUUGUCUGGUGAAUUCCCUGGGGCUGUUGAGGGUGAUGUUUGCAGCAACAUUCUGAAUGGAUGGACGUGGGGCAAGAUCACAUCUGUCAAGGCAGAGAAAAGGAUGUUGCAGUAAUCAAGGUGUGAGAUGAUGAGAGUUUUAGCUGUGUGGUUGAACAGGAAAGACCAUAGUUCAGAAAUAUUUUGCAGAAGGAAUCUGCAAGAUUUAGGUGUAAUCUGGAUGUGAGGACCUGGAGAGAGAGGGCCAAGUCAAAGAUGGUGUCUAGAUUACAGGCUGAAGUAACAAGCAAGAUGGUGGUGUGAUCAAGAAAGGGAGCUA